rnacentral:rRNA from 9 species
UUCUAACGUGGACCCGUAAUCCGGGUUGCGGACAGUGUCUGGUGGGUAGUUUGACUGGGGCGGUCUCCUCCUAAAGAGUAACGGAGGAGCACGAAGGUUGGCUAAUCCUGGUCGGACAUCAGGAGGUUAGUGCAAUGGCAUAAGCCAGCUUGACUGCGAGCGUGACGGCGCGAGCAGGUGCGAAAGCAGGUCAUAGUGAUCCGGUGGUUCUGAAUGGAAGGGCCAUCGCUCAACGGAUAAAAGGUACUCCGGGGAUAACAGGCUGAUACCGCCCAAGAGUUCAUAUCGACGGCGGUGUUUGGCACCUCGAUGUCGGCUCAUCACAUCCUGGGGCUGAAGUAGGUCCCAAGGGUAUGGCUGUUCGCCAUUUAAAGUGGUACGCGAGCUGGGUUUAGAACGUCGUGAGACAGUUCGGUCCCUAUCUGCCGUGGGCGCUGGAGAACUGAGGGGGGCUGCUCCUAGUACGAGAGGACCGGAGUGGACGCAUCACUGGUGUUCGGGUUGUCAUGCCAAUGGCACUGCCCGGUAGCUAAAUGCGGAAGAGAUAAGUGCUGAAAGCAUCUAAGCACGAAACUUGCCCCGA